GCUGUUGCCAUUGUCAUUUAGCCUUUCAUCCUCAGUGUGAAGUGUUUGAGCUAGAGCUUAUUCUUACUGGCGAAGUAAAAGAAAUUUUUGUGCACACCUUGCGCAAGCAAAAAUGGCUGAUGAUAAUAGAGUCUAAGUACAGUUGGAAUCAAGUGGAGGUGGCCAGACUUUACUUUUGGUUGAUAAGUGAUAUGGCUAAACAAUUACAGAAUGAUGCAACUUUCCGUGAAAAUUUUUCAAAGGUGCCUCCAAGGAUCAGAAGAAAAUAAAGCUGAAGACAAUUCAUGUAAAUCUGAAGAAAUAAUGAAAGAUGAUAACAAAGGAG